GAACUGCUGAAGAGUCUCAUAAUAAGACGAAACGGUUGUUCAGUGU
rnacentral:hammerhead_ribozyme from 1 species